CCUUCGCCAUUAAGGCAUUCCUUAUUGGGGUACCUUAAUGGCGUGGGCCCCACUCGAUUUAAUGGGGAAACGUCCCCAAGACCCUAUAAAAGGGGUCCUUGGGGGACCUCUAUCCUCAACUUAUCCUCUCUUGACUCACACUCCCACUAGAGCAAACCAAGGAGCCCGAAUCGCCUACUCCCACGUGAGUCGCCGAUUCCCCUCCUCUUCUGC
rnacentral:lncRNA from 1 species